GCAGCGGUAGUUCAGUUGGUUAGAAUACCGGCCUGUCACGCCGGGGGUCGCGGGUUCGAGCCCCGUCCGCGGC
rnacentral:tRNA from 1 species